rnacentral:misc_RNA from 1 species
UCAGCGGUUUAAACCGCG